rnacentral:lncRNA from 10 species
GUGAACAUACUAGUAGCCCCACCUACAUAGACUUGUAAGGAUUAAAUGAGAUCGUGCAUGUGGAAUGCUUAACUCGUGCUAGCCUCAUAGUAAUUGAUGCUUAACCUGUCUUCCUAGGGACACACUGCUGUUUGGGCAACCCUUUGUCAGGGCCUGUUAUCUCCCACUUGCAGAUCCAGGGCAUUUCAGAGGUCAGAGAGAGGAGGGAGGCCUCUUCUGAGAUUUUGACCUCUAUUCAGGUUCUACAUUCAUGGAAUCAGCCAACCUUGGAUGGAAAAGAUUUGGAAAAU